rnacentral:rRNA from 1 species
GAUGAACGCUGGCGGCGUGCCUAAUACAUGCAAGUCGAGCGAACGGACGAGAAGCUUGCUUCUCUGAUGUUAGCGGCGGACGGGUGAGUAACACGUGGAUAACCUACCUAUAAGACUGGGAUAACUUCGGGAAACCGGAGCUAAUACCGGAUAAUAUUUUGAACCGCAUGGUUCAAAAGUGAAAGACGGUCUUGCUGUCACUUAUAGAUGGAUCCGCGCUGCAUUAGCUAGUUGGUAAGGUAACGGCUUACCAAGGCAACGAUGCAUAGCCGACCUGAGAGGGUGAUCGGCCACACUGGAACUGAGACACGGUCCAGACUCCUACGGGAGGCAGCAGUAGGGAAUCUUCCGCAAUGGGCGAAAGCCUGACGGAGCAACGCCGCGUGAGUGAUGAAGGUCUUCGGAUCGUAAAACUCUGUUAUUAGGGAAGAACAUAUGUGUAAGUAACUGUGCACAUCUUGACGGUACCUAAUCAGAAAGCCACGGCUAACUAUGUGCCAGCAGCCGCGGUAAUACGUAGGUGGCAAGCGUUAUCCGGAAUUAUUGGGCGUAAAGCGCGCGUAGGCGGUUUUUUAAGUCUGAUGUGAAAGCCCACGGCUCAACCGUGGAGGGUCAUUGGAAACUGGAAAACUUGAGUGCAGAAGAGGAAAGUGGAAUUCCAUGUGUAGCGGUGAAAUGCGCAGAGAUAUGGAGGAACACCAGUGGCGAAGGCGACUUUCUGGUCUGUAACUGACGCUGAUGUGCGAAAGCGUGGGGAUCAAACAGGAUUAGAUACCCUGGUAGUCCACGCCGUAAACGAUGAGUGCUAAGUGUUAGGGGGUUUCCGCCCCUUAGUGCUGCAGCUAACGCAUUAAGCACUCCGCCUGGGGAGUACGACCGCAAGGUUGAAACUCAAAGGAAUUGACGGGGACCCGCACAAGCGGUGGAGCAUGUGGUUUAAUUCGAAGCAACGCGAAGAACCUUACCAAAUCUUGACAUCCUUUGACAACUCUAGAGAUAGAGCCUUCCCCUUCGGGGGGCAAAGUGACAGGUGGUGCAUGGUUGUCGUCAGCUCGUGUCGUGAGAUGUUGGGUUAAGUCCCGCAACGAGCGCAACCCUUAAGCUUAGUUGCCAUCAUUAAGUUGGGCACUCUAAGUUGACUGCCGGUGACAAACCGGAGGAAGGUGGGGAUGACGUCAAAUCAUCAUGCCCCUUAUGAUUUGGGCUACACACGUGCUACAAUGGACAAUACAAAGGGCAGCGAAACCGCGAGGUCAAGCAAAUCCCAUAAAGUUGUUCUCAGUUCGGAUUGUAGUCUGCAACUCGACUACAUGAAGCUGGAAUCGCUAGUAAUCGUGGAUCAGCAUGCUACGGUGAAUACGUUCCCGGGUCU